AUUGAACGCUGGCGGCAGGCCUAACACAUGCCAGUCGAGCGGAUGAAGGGAGCUUGCUCCUGGAUUCAGCGGCGGACGGGUGAGUAAUUCCUAGGAAUCUGCCUGGUCUUGGGGGAUAACGUCCGGAAACGGGCGCUAAUACCGCAUACGUCCUGAGGGAGAAAGUGGGGGAUCUUCGGACCUCACGCUAUCAGAUGAGCCUAGGUCGGAUUAGCUAGUUGGUGGGGUAAAGGCCUACCAAGGCGACGAUCCGUAACUGGUCUGAGAGGAUGAUCAGUCACACUGGAACUGAGACACGGUCCAGACUCCUACGGGAGGCAGCAGUGGGGAAUAUUGGACAAUGGGCGAAAGCCUGAUCCAGCCAUGCCGCGUGUGUGAAGAAGGUCUUCGGAUUGUAAAGCACUUUAAGUUGGGAGGAAGGGCAGUAAGUUAAUACCUUGCUGUUUUGACGGUACCAACAGAAUAAGCACCGGCUAACUUCGUG
rnacentral:rRNA from 1 species